rnacentral:rRNA from 1 species
GCAAGUCGAGCGGAAACGAUCCUAGCUUGCUAGGAGGCGUCGAGCGGCGGACGGGUGAGUAAUGCAUAGGAAUCUGCCCGGUAGUGGGGGAUAACCUGAGGAAACUCAGGCUAAUACCGCAUACGUCCUACGGGAGAAAGCAGGGGCUCUUCGGACCUUGCGCUAUCGGAUGAGCUUAUGUCGGAUUAGCUGGUUGGUGAGGUAACGGCUCACCAAGGCGACGAUCCGUAGCUGGUCUGAGAGGAUGAUCAGCCACAUCGGGACUGAGACACGGCCCGAACUCCUACGGGAGGCAGCAGUGGGGAAUAUUGGACAAUGGGGGCAACCCUGAUCCAGCCAUGCCGCGUGUGUGAAGAAGGCCCUCGGGUUGUAAAGCACUUUCAGUGAGGAAGAAGGCUUGUCGGUUAAUACCCGGCAAGAAAGACAUCACUCACAGAAGAAGCACCGGCUAACUCCGUGCCAGCAGCCGCGGUAAUACGGAGGGUGCGAGCGUUAAUCGGAAUUACUGGGCGUAAAGCGUGCGUAGGCGGCUUGAUAAGCCGGUUGUGAAAGCCCCGGGCUCAACCUGGGAACGGCAUCCGGAACUGUCAGGCUAGAGUGCAGGAGAGGAAGGUAGAAUUCCCGGUGUAGCGGUGAAAUGCGUAGAGAUCGGGAGGAAUACCAGUGGCGAAGGCGGCCUUCUGGACUGACACUGACGCUGAGGUACGAAAGCGUGGGUAGCAAACAGGAUUAGAUACCCUGGUAGUCCACGCCGUAAACGAUGUCGACUAGCCGUUGGGGUCCUCGAGACCUUUGUGGCGCAGUUAACGCACUAAGUCGACCG